AGGUUAAUGUCUCUCUCUCUCUUCUACAGCAGGUUAAUGUGUCUCUCUCUCUCUACUACAGCAGGUUAAUGUGUCUCUCUCUCUCUACUAUAGCAGGUUAAUGUGUCUCUCUCUCUCUACUAUAGCAGGUUAAUGUGUCUCUCUCUCUCUACUAUAGCAGGUUAAUGUGUCUCUCUCUCUCUACUAUAGCAGGUUAAUGUGUCUCUCUCUCUACUACAGCAGGUUAAUGUGUCUCUCUCUCUACUACAGCAGGUUAAUGUCUCUCUUCUACAGCAGGUUAAUGUCUCUCUUCUACAGCAGGUUAAUGUCUCUCUCUCUCUCUUCUACAGCAGGUUAAUGUCUCUCUCUCUUCUACAGCAGGUUAAUGUCUCUCUCUCUUCUACAGCAGGUUAAUGUCUCUCUCUCUCUCUUCUACAGCAGGUUAAUGUCUCUCUCUCUCUCUUCUACAGCAGGUUAAUGUCUCUCUCUCUUCUACAGCAGGUUAAUGUCUCUCUCUCUCUUCUACAGCAGGUUAAUGUCUCUCUCUCUCUCUUCUACAGCAGGUUAAUGUCUCUCUCUCUCUCUUCUACAGCAGGUUAAUGUCUCUCUCUCUCUCUUCUACAGCAGGUUAAUGUCUCUCUCUCUCUCUUCUACAGCAGGUUAAUGUCUCUCUCUCUCUCUUCUACAGCAGGUUAAUGUCUCUCUCUCUCUCUUCUACAGCAGGUUAAUGUCUCUCUCUCUACUACAGCAGGUUAAUGUCUCUCUCUCUCUCUUCUACAGCAGGUUAAUGUCUCUCUCUCUCUUCUACAGCAGGUUAAUGUCUCUCUCUCUUCUACAGCAGGUUAAUGUCUCUCUCUCUCUCUCUUCUACAGCAGGUUAAUGUCUCUCUCGCUCUUCUACAGAAGGUUAAUGUCUCCUACAGCAGGUUAAUGUCUCUCUCUCUUCUACAGCAGGUUAAUGUCUCUCUCUCUCUUCUACAGCAGGUUAAUGUCUCUCUCUCUCUUCUACAGCAGGUUAAUGUCUCUCUCUCUCUCUUCUACAGCAGGUUAAUGUCUCUCUCUCUCUUCUACAGCAGGUUAAUGUCUCUCUCUCUUCUACAGCAGGUUAAUGUCUCUCUCUCUCUUCUACAGCAGGUUAAUGUCUCUCUCUCUUCUACAGCAGGUUAAUGUCUCUCUCUCUUCUACAGCAGGUUAAUGUCUCUCUCUCUCUUCUACAGCAG